AUGAACGCUAGCGAUAGGCUUAACACAUGCCAGUCGCGGGGCAGCAUGGUCUUAGCUUGCUAAGGCUGAUGGCGACCGGCGCACGGGUGCGUAACGCGUAUGCAACUUGCCUCACAGAGGGGGAUAACCCGUCGAAAGACGGACUAAUACCGCGUACACUCUAUGUUGGGCAUCCAAUGUAGAGGAAAUGAAAUUCGCUGUGAGAUAGGCAUGCGUCCCAUUAGCUAGUUGGUGAGGUAACGGCUCACCAAGGCGACGAUGGGUAGGGGAACUGAGAGGUUGAACCCCCACACUGGUACUGAGACACGGACCAGACUCCUACGGGAGGCAGCAGUGAGGAAUAUUGGUCAAUGGGCGAGAGCCUGAACCAGCCAAGUCGCGUGAAGGAUGACUGUCUUAUGGAUUGUAAACUUCUUUUAUACGGGAAUAACAAGAGUCACGUGUGGCUCCCUGCAUGUACCGUAUGAAUAAGCAUCGGCUAACUCCGUG
rnacentral:rRNA from 1 species